rnacentral:lncRNA from 1 species
GCUCUGGGAACGGCACGGCCGGGAGGCUGCAGGCACCUGCUCCUCCCAAAUCCCGCGGAUUUACCGCUCCUGGCACCUUCCUGCUGCCACUGGCUCCAUCCCAGGGAAUCUCCCGAGGGACAGAAGUGGGAAAGCAGCACUUAGAGGUUACAAUUCCUUCUUUUUCUGCGCUGCUCCUGAAUCCUGGCUCUGGAGGAGGAAGGAUCCCAUGCACUCCUGGAGGACAAAUCCUGCUGCUCCCAGGGCCCGUGCUGAAGGCUCGGGGUGAGGGACAGAGGGGACAGCCAGGACAUGCAGGAGCAGCUCCCGAGGCUGCAGCUGGAGCUCAGGGACAGCGAUGGAACCUCAGGGCUGGGAGAGGUUCUUCCCUCGCCUCCAGCCCCAGCUCCACACCCGGAACCUGCCCGGGCUCCAUCCCCUCCCCGUGAGGAGGAUCCCACCAGGAGCUCAGCUCCUGCCACACGGAACUGACAGGAAAAAACUCCAUUUUCUGCUGGCCUUUGGGAAUUGUC